GUGAGAGCAGGUGAACAGGAGGUGACUGCAGGACUAACGAGAGACAGGUGAAACCAAUCAGGGCGGAUCAGACAAUCAAAACUGGCGGGAAAACACACAAAGGCAGGAAGUGAAGUGAUUUGAGAGGAGAGGAGAGAGACAAUCUCUACCGGUAAAGUAAAGGUGCUGCAUGAUGAUUAUGACAAUUAUCACAAAGACUGCAUACCAAUGAGCAGCUGCAGACAGCAGGCAGGCCAGAAGCCGCUGUCAGCCGUCAUUUCAGCGUCUGAAUCACGUAAACCACCAACCUCUACACAAUUCACAACCCGAUCCCAUGGAAGAUGAACUAACUAGCAUCCGAGAGGCAUAUUUUAUACAACGGCAUGAGCUGGGGAUGAUGGAGAGCUGUUAUUGGUUUCUGACAGUGUGUGCGUGUGUGUGUGUGUGUGUGUGUGUAGCGCUGGGUGCCGCCAUCUUCCCAGGUAUACCGGGAUCAGCCAUCUUGUCAGGCGUUUUUGAAAACAGCUUUUGUAAAACUCCGACCAGGGUGAAGAUUUUCCACUUUUGAAACUGCUGUUUUGAAACAGUCAAAAAAAGCUGUCCGUGUCUUUAAUUAUAUUCAUGUAAUAAUGUAACAAAUGUCAAUCUGCAUGA